UACGUAGGGGGCAAGCGUUGUCCGGAUUUAUUGGGCGUAAAGAGCGUGUAGGCGGUUUGGUAGGUCCGCUGUGAAAACUCGAGGCUCAACCUCGAGACGCCGGUGGAAACCAUCAGGCUAGAGUCCGGAAGAGGAGAGUGGAAUUCCUGGUGUAGCGGUGAAAUGCGCAGAUAUCAGGAGGAACACCAAUGGCGAAGGCAGCACUCUGGGACGUGACUGACGCUGAGACGCGAAAGCGUGGGGAGCAAACAGG
rnacentral:rRNA from 1 species